UCACAUAUUUAAUUUUUUUUCUUCUACCCACAAAGUAGAUGUACAUAUUUAUAGUUAAUUAGAGCGUAUAUAUUUAGAGAAAUAUUUUUAAGCGUGUUUUUCAUUUUUUUUGGCCAAUUUUAAGCGUGUCUAAAACGAAGAAAGAAAGAGCUGAACCGAACGAAACCAACAGCUGGGUUCCAGAAAUGACCAGGACCUUGGGACCCCAUGCUUUGUUUUCUCUCUCUGACCGCUUUUACUUUCUCUCGUAAAAUCAAAUGAUUAUGUUCAUCAUCAUGAUGCAACAUCACACAAAACCCGCAAAAGAAUGGUUAUAUUGAAGGGAAAGAAGAACGGAAAAAGAAGAAGCUAGGAAAGAUCAAGGAAAUGAGGGUUUGCGGAUACCUAAAGAAAUUGCUGAUGGGAAGCUUUUCUUGUUGAGGGGAAUGUUGUCUGGUUCAAGACCGCCCUCUCUCCAUCCAUUUUCAUCGGUUUCGACCCUCUCAACUGAUCAUUAGUUUUCAAAAUCAUCUCAAUCCACAGAUAUAGUCUUUUUCUGUGUUUAAUUCGUGCUCUUGGACCAGGCUUCAUUCCCCUUAAUUACUGCUUCCACUUAUAUUUUUAUACAUCAAUCAAGGUACAGUACUGCUCGAUCUUCUUGGAUUUCAUCAUCAGUACCAUGAUUUAACAGAUGGGUAAUCAUUUAUGUGCUCUUUUAGCUGUUAUAGCUUUUUUUUUAUUUUUUUAUUUUUUUACCACACGUGUGUAUUCACAUGGGUUUAUGUUAAUUUCAUAUAAAUCAAGGUUGUUUAAUUACAAGCAGAUUGGUGUAAUGAUGAAGAGUUUUGACUCUGUGGGUUGUUCUGCCUGAACAGACAAUGGUUAAUUUUCAUCAUUGCCGAUUUUAUACGAUUAUUGUAUGUUUCCUUUCAACUCCAAUUAUAAUGACUGCGUGCGAUCCUGUAUAUAAUUAUGUCUUUCUGUCAGUUCCUGUCUUAUUGGGAUGAAAUCAAGUAGGUGGAUUUGCAGGAGGGCCGUAUCAUCUUCUCUCGCCGUCUUGGAAGUUGCCACUAAUAUAUCAUGUCUGUUUUCUUUUUGAGGUGAGGGCUUAGUGGAAGACAAAGAACCGAACUUAAGAUCUGAAGCUUCAAAUGGAUAUAUAUAUAUAUAUAUAUAUAUAUGUGUGUGUGUAUCUAUAUAUAUAUUCGCCAGAAUUGAUUCCAUUUCAGCUGUUGCUUUCUUUAUGGUAAAAAGAGGUAUCUUUCUGUUCCUAUCUUUUAAAACUCCUUUUCAUGGCCUUUUUCUUGUUCAUGAAAGAUUAUUAUUCCUUGGAACAAUUCAAGAGGUUAAUCUUUCAUUUAAUUUUAUUACCAUUAAUGUUAAAUAUAACUUUUGUACAUGCAAUCAACGGUUUAAACAUGUUUUCUUAAAAGAUCUUCACUCAAGAGAUCAAUGAAGAUCACAUUGAAAGAGAGAGAUCAGCACUCGUAUCGAACAGGGGGUAUGACUAUCUAUUUUUCGUUGAGAAUUUUAAUAGAAGUACAACUAGUAAAGAUCAGUAAAAACUGGAGUUGGGAUAUUUCUUUGUAACUUUUUGAUGUUUUUCAGACCCUAUAAGUUGCUUUAAGGGCAAUUUGCAUCACAAAGGAAAAACUAGUAGUACAUGCAAACCCUUUAAAGUACUUUUGAGUACUGUGUUUUUCACUUUUAUGAAUUUUACCAAGAGCUAUUGAUGAUGCAAUGACAAAGCUGCUGAUGAUGAUGAAUGACGACCGAGUGGGGGUGAUUCAUGCAGAAGAUUGAUUGAGCAUUAAUUAUCAAAACCCCCCACUGUAGUUUUAUCAGAAUUCUUAAAUCUGCACUCCAUAAACGUCAGCGACUGCUUAUAUAUGUUCCAGAGAUCCAGAAUCUCAUUAGCUGUAGUACUGUCAUUUUUCCUGUAAUUCACAAAUCACACUAUGGCCAAGCUACAAAUUGUGUCUUUUCCAUCAUUCCAUGUUUAAUAGAUUUCCAAAAGCAAAGCAAAGGAAAGCAAGUGCAUGAAAGUUUGCUACGUACUGUCAUGUCAUCUAACUAAAGGUUAACUUUGAAUCGUUUAAGUGUUGAAAUGUUUCAUAUCAUUUCACAAUUGGAUGAUUAAAUUUUUUUUUAAAAAAGGAGGAAUUUCCCAAUUUUAUUAGUAUUUAGUUUAGUUUAUACAAGAAUAAUGUAAACAAAUCUAAGAAAAAGAGUGAUAUCUUGAAUGAAGGUGCUUCGGAGUGAAACAAAAUACGGAAUAAAGAUACGAAGGAUGAGAAUUGAGAGUUUAGAAGUUGGCAUUCUUCUUACAAGGAGCAAUAGUACUGUCCUUCUGGACCACUUUGAUUAAUUGAAGAAGGAAAAUUUAUACUACUUUUUUAUAUAUAUUCAUUGGAUGUAGUGGGUGGCAGGUGAAUGCAAUGCACGAAGAUAAAGUAAAAAGAAGAAUUCUCUGAUCUCUUUUUCUUUAUAAAAGUGAAACACAGAAAGUGAUCUAUCUAUCUCUCUCUCUCUCUCUGCAAAUGCAGGUUUUAUAUUGCUUUGCAAAGGGAAGAUGGUGAUGAAAGAAAAAAGCCUCAGCAAAAUCUACCGCAAAUUCAACAUCAACCCAUAUUUGCCUUACAAAUGGUGAUCUAUAAUUUCAGGCAAUCUGAUGCCUGGUAUUGUUGCCGUAUAAGCCUUCUAUUAUCAUCAGAUCUAUCAACGUUCUCUCAAUCUACUGCUGCUUUUAGCUUUCAUCUGACUGACUUUGCAUUCGAUGAAAUACAAAAGUGCUAAUCCAUUAAAGCAAUGAUCAUAAUUGGUUUGGGAUAAUUACAAGAUUAGUCUUAAAAGUAUGUGUUUUUUUAUUUCAGUACUAUUAUUUCAAUCCUAAAAGUUAAUAAUUACCCCAACAUAAAUAUCAUAUUGGUCAAAAUUUCAAGGCUCAUCAAAUAAUCAAGUCAACCCCUCCAUGGCUCCAACCGUCAGCCAUGACACCACCGGCCAACAAAGCUCUUCAGAUACUUGACUGAUAUGGGUGAAUUGACUCUUCCCUUCUCAUUUUUUUUACUUCAUGCUACGAUCCAUAUAUUAAUUUCCUUUCCCAAUGAAGUUUUAAUUAAAAGAGAAAGAAAUCUCUUUUGAAAUUUCUACAGCAUGGAUCUCAAACAAUCUCAACUGUUGGCUGAAUUUUCUAUGAAUUAAAAAGCUUCUAAUAUUCAUGUACCAAAAAAACAAAAGCUUCUUAAUGCAUCCCAUCUCUGGCACAUCUAUGAACAGCUAAGAUCAACUGCCUUAUGAAUG